CAAUUGGAGUGUGUGUGCAGGCUUCCAUUUGAAAUGCAUACACAGUUCCUGAAACAGGAAUAUAUUUUAGGAUGUGCUUGGAGCUAAUGUAUGGUUUUCAGUGAACCUCUUAGGGUCACUAUGCCAGCCACUUGAUAUCUUAUAAGUAAGCUGUACUGAUAUUUAUUUAUAAAUCUAACCUUGUUAUUAAAUAAUAGGCAGGAACAUAUAACUGGAUUUAAUAGCAAUCAUAUUCUGCAACCCACCAAUAACUCACCACACUAAUACUAAGAAAUCAUCAGCUGGGUGCCUUCCAUUAUGAUCUGUGCCUGCAGCCUCCUCCUCCAGGCAGGAUAGGAGGCAGUCUUAAGAGGCAGGGCAGAGACAAGUUAGAGUUCAGGUAGUGUUAUUCGGUCUAAGGGAUGAUCCAGGCCUCCUUAGCUGACAGAAAGACAGUGCAAUGCAGAUGCUAGAUAGGAGAGAAGGAGAUGCAUUUAAAUAUUUUUGUUUCAUUUUAAGCCUAUCUGUAUAUUUUAUGCCUUUCAUCCCUCCUCAACGAUGCUUUCUUUUACAGGCUGCACUGUCCUAAUACCUAGUGUCCCAUCUGUGUUGGUGCAGAGGAUUGCUUCCCAACAGAGUAUUAGACCCAACCAUUUUUUUGUUUCUCCAUGGGCCCAGCAUCAUGAAGUGUUACCAAUUGAUACACUGUCCCCGGAACCCUUGAAAUUAUUUCCAUUCUGAAGAGUCUUCCCAGUCUCAGUACUCCCUUCCAGCCAGUGGUGGAUUUGGGAUCAGACCAGCAAAUAGGAUUACCAGGGCUGAAUUUUGUUUUUUUAAUGGGGUAUAAAGUGUCUGUGAAGUUUACUCUUUCUGAUUACUCCUGCAAGGUGUCUUUUUAACAACUAGCAUCAUUGAUUUAAAACUUCUCAGGUAGUGUUAGUGGCACGGUUGCUUGGAACAUCAUCCCAAUAUUCUGAGAUUACAGGUUCAAUCCCUGGUUGGAGCACAUGCAGGAAUCAACCAAUAAAUGCAUGAAUAAGUGGAACAGCAACAACAAAAGUCACAGAAUUCUUGAUAUGGGAAGUGUCAGUCAACAGACCAGUUGUAGUCUAGGGAAAAUUGGCUUGCUUCCUAUUAAAUUCAUCUUUUAUCCUUUUU